GAUGAACGCUAGCUACAGGCUUAACACAUGCAAGUCGAGGGGCAUCAGGAACAUAGCUUGCUAUGUUUGCUAGCGACCGGCGCACGGGUGCGUAACACGUAUCCAAUCUGCCCGUUACUCGGGGAUAGCCUUUCGAAAGAAAGAUUAAUACCCGAUAGUAUUAUUAAGAGGCAUCUUUUUUUAAUUAAAGAUUUAUCGGUAACGGAUGAGGAUGCGUAUGAUUAGUUAGUUGGCGGGGUAACGGCCCACCAAGACUACGAUCAUUAGGGGUUCUGAGAGGAAGGUCCCCCACACCGGAACUGAGACACGGUCCAGACUCCUACGGGAGGCAGCAGUGAGGAAUAUUGGUCAAUGGACGAGAGUCUGAACCAGCCAAGUAGCGUGAAGGAUGACUGCCCUAUGGGUUGUAAACUUCUUUUGUUUGGGAAUAAAGUUAGGUACGUGUACCUAUUUGUAUGUACCAUUCGAAUAAGCAUCGGCUAAUUCCGUGCCAGCCGCCGCUGUAACAC
rnacentral:rRNA from 1 species